UACGGGGGGGGCAAGCGUUGUUCGGAAUUACUGGGCGUAAAGGGCUCGUAGGCGGCCAACUAAGUCGGAUGUGAAAUCCCCAGGCUUAACCUGGGAACUGCAUCCGAUACUGGAUGGCUUGAAUCCGGGAGAGGGAUGCAGAAUUCCAGGUGUAGCGGUGAAAUGCGUAGAUAUCGGGAAGAACACCUAUGGCGAAGGCAGCUCUCUGGGACGGUACUGACGCUGAGACGCGAAAGCGUGGGGAGCGAACAGG
rnacentral:rRNA from 1 species